AGUUUGAUCCUGGCUCAGGAUGAACGCUAGCUACAGGCUUAACACAUGCAAGUCGAGGGGCAGCAUUGGAGUAGCAAUACUUCAGAUGGCGACCGGCGCACGGGUGAGUAACACGUAUCCAACCUGCCGCUUACUCGGGGAUAGCCUUUCGAAAGAAAGAUUAAUACCCGAUGGUAUAAAGAGUUCGCAUGUUCUCUUUAUUAAAGAAUUUCGGUAAGCGAUGGGGAUGCGUUCCAUUAGAUAGUUGGCGGGGUAACGGCCCACCAAGUCUACGAUGGAUAGGGGUUCUGAGAGGAAGGUCCCCCACAUUGGAACUGAGACACGGUCCAAACUCCUACGGGAGGCAGCAGUGAGGAAUAUUGGUCAAUGGACGAGAGUCUGAACCAGCCAAGUAGCGUGAAGGAUGACUGCCCUAUGGGUUGUAAACUUCUUUUAUAAGGGAAUAAAGUGAGGGACGUGUCCCUUUUUGUAUGUACCUUAUGAAUAAGGAUCGGCCAACUCCGUGCCAGCAGCCGCGGUAAUACGGAGGAUCCAAGCGUUAUCCGGAUUUAUUGGGUUUAAAGGGAGCGUAGGUUGACAUAUAAGUCAGCUGUGAAAGUUUACGGCUCAACCGUGAAAUUGCAGUUGAUACUGUAUGUCUUGAGUGUACAAGAGGUGGGCGGAAUUCGUGGUGUAGCGGUGAAAUGCUUAGAUAUCACGAAGAACUCCAAUUGCGAAGGCAGCUCACUGGGGUACAACUGACACUGAGGCUCGAAAGUGUGGGUAUCAAACAGGAUUAGAUACCCUGGUAGUCCACACAGUAAACGAUGAAUACUCGCUGUUUGCGAUAUACAGUAAGCGGCCGAGCGAAAGCAUUAAGUAUUCCACCUGGGGAGUACGCCGGCAACGGUGAAACUCAAAGGAAUUGACGGGGGCCCGCACAAGCGGAGGAACAUGUGGUUUAAUUCGAUGAUACGCGAGGAACCUUACCCGGGCUUGAAUUGCAGAGGAAUAUAGUUGAAAGAUUAUAGCCGCAAGGUCUCCGUGAAGGUGCUGCAUGGUUGUCGUCAGCUCGUGCCGUGAGGUGUCGGCUUAAGUGCCAUAACGAGCGCAACCCUUAUCAUUAGUUACUAACAGGUCAUGCUGAGGACUCUAGUGAGACUGCCGUCGUAAGAUGUGAGGAAGGUGGA
rnacentral:rRNA from 1 species